AAUUUAACAGCAGAACCAUCUGCCAUUUCAAUUAUAGACUGAACAGAUGCUUUACCAAAUGUAUUUGUACCGAUAACAAGUGCUCUAUCAUAAUCUUGAAACGCUCCAGCUAAAAUUUCUGAUGCUGAUGCUGAUCCUUCGUUCACUAUCAUUAUGAUAGGUUUAUCUAUAUCUCUAAAACCGAUAUUACGCGUUUUAAAAUGAUUUUCUUUUUUAGAUCUAUCUUGAGUAUAAACAACAGUCUUAUCUUUCUCUAAAAAUAAUGAAGAUAUGUUGAUAGCCUCUGUUAAUAACCCACCUGAAUUAUUACGUA
rnacentral:ncRNA from 1 species